AUGGUACUUCUUCCGUCCAACAAAAGAUCUCUCAAGUUUGUUAAAAAUUUGGAUGUCUAUACAUGACUUAGUAUAUAAAUGCAUUUAAAUUUGGUCAAAAUUGAAACAUCUUUUGUUGAACAGAAGCAGUAUAUU
rnacentral:pre_miRNA from 1 species